rnacentral:rRNA from 1 species
UACGUAUGUGACAAGCGUUGUCCGGAUUUACUGGGCGUAAAGAGCGCGCAGGCGGUCGUUCAAGUCGAGUGUGAAAGCCCCCGGCUCAACUGGGGAGGGUCAUUCGAUACUGAUCGACUCGAAGGCAGGAGAGGGAAGUGGAAUUCCCGGUGUAGUGGUGAAAUGCGUAGAUAUCGGGAGGAACACCAGUGGCGAAGGCGACUUCCUUGCCUGUUCUUGACGCUGAGGCGCGAAAGCUAGGGGAGCAAACGGG